rnacentral:tRNA from 1 species
CGCAGGGUAGCCAAGUCGGUAAGGCGCGAGAUUCAUAACCUCGUCACCGCGGGUUCGAAUCCCGCCCCUGCAACCA